CCCUUAGAUGUCCGGGGCCGCACGCGCGCUACACUGAAGGAAUCAGCGUGGCUUUCUACCUGACCCGAAAGGGUUGGGAAACCCGUUGAAUCUCCUUCGUGAUAGGGAUUGGGGCUUGAAAUUGUUCCCCAUGAACGAGGAAUUCCCAGUAAGCGCGAGUCAUAAGCUCGCGUUGAUUACGUCCCUGCCCUUUGUACACACCGCCCGUCGCUACUACCGAUUGAACGGUUUAGUGAGGGCCUCGGAUUGGUCUCGGCCCGCUCUUUACCGGGCGGCGCCGUUGGUCGAGAAGACGCUCGAACUUGAUCGUUUAGAGGAAGUAAAAGUCGUAACA
rnacentral:rRNA from 1 species